GGGAGCGUAGCUUCGUGGUAGAGCACUUGCCUAGCAUGCAUGAAUUCCUGGGUUCAAUGCCCAGCACUGCAA
rnacentral:tRNA from 1 species